AUAGAUACUGUACCAAAUCUGCAUUAUGUUUCUGGAGGAUAAAAGAGUGAUUUUUCCAUGAACUUUUGAUUUCUAGAACUGGAAGAGACCUUGGAAAUCACCUACCUCACCCACUCAAGUGGGAAAAGCACAAGUCCAGAAAGGUUAUGUGACUGAAGCUGGUCGCACAGCUGGCAAGUGUCAAUACCAGGUCAGAACUCAGAGUUCCUACUUCAUAGUCCAGUGACAGAGGAUGAACGAGGAAGCAACAAGAUGAAGAUUCGUAAUCAUCAGAAGUCUUCCUUUUAGUCCUUUUGGUUUUUAGAGAGAUUCUGCAGACCAUAGCCAGAAAGAGAAAGAGCCCAGAAAUAACUAGCACCUGAUUCUCAAACUCAGCUGAAAUCGAGUAGCGAGCAUUAAGAAACCCUUGUGUUAAGGGCGUGGGGUAGAUGGAAAGAUGUGUGAUUAAGGAAGCAGAGUCAGAUGGCCAUGGUGGAGUCUAGGCGGACACAGGGAGAAGAUGGCCAUCCGCAGCCUGGAAGAGGAUUCUCACCAGAACCAACCGUGCUGACCCACCCAGUCUCAGAAUCCCAGCCUCCAGAAGUGUGAGAUGUAAAUUCUGCUGCUUCCAACCCACCCAGUCUCUGGGUGGUACUCUGUUACAGCAUGCUGAAAAGACUAAGACAUCAGG
ensembl:lncRNA